rnacentral:lncRNA from 1 species
CUCUGCUGGCACCAAGAGUUUAUGCAGAGGAACUGACCCAAAGUAUAAUUUCCUUCAGCCACAUAUUAGUAACCUAUUCAGAAUCUGCUUAAUGUGAAAAAAAGCUUUCCUUUUAGGAAAAUAAAAACACUUUAUGAAGGACUCCGAAUGUGCUCCAAUGAUCCUAGACAAAGAACUCCAUUUCUAGAAGAUUCAAA